rnacentral:rRNA from 1 species
CGGGAGACACACGGCGGGUGCUAACGUCCGUCGUGAAGAGGGAAACAACCCAGACCGCCAGCUAAGGUCCCAAAGUCAUGGUUAAGUGGGAAACGAUGUGGGAAGGCCCAGACAGCCAGGAUGUUGGCUUAGAAGCAGCCAUCAUUUAAAGAAAGCGUAAUAGCUCACUGGUCGAGUCGGCCUGCGCGGAAGAUGUAACGGGGCUAAACCAUGCACCGAAGCUGCGGCAGCGACACUAUGUGUUGUUGGGUAGGGGAGCGUUCUGUAAGCCUGUGAAGGUGUGCUGUGAGGUAUGCUGGAGGUAUCAGAAGUGCGAAUGCUGACAUAAGUAACGAUAAAGCGGGUGAAAAGCCCGCUCGCCGGAAGACCAAGGGUUCCUGUCCAACGUUAAUCGGGGCAGGGUGAGUCGACCCCUAAGGCGAGGCCGAAAGGCGUAGUCGAUGGGAAACAGGUUAAUAUUCCUGUACUUGGUGUUACUGCGAAGGGGGGACGGAGAAGGCUAUGUUGGCCGGGCGACGGUUGUCCCGGUUUAAGCGUGUAGGCUGGUUUUCCAGGCAAAUCCGGAAAAUCAAGGCUGAGGCGUGAUGACGAGGCACUACGGUGCUGAAGCAACAAAUGCCCUGCUUCCAGGAAAAGCCUCUAAGCAUCAGGUAACAUCAAAUCGUACCCCAAACCGACACAGGUGGUCAGGUAGAGAAUACCAAGGCGCUUGAGAGAACUCGGGUGAAGGAACUAGGCAAAAUGGUGCCGUAACUUCGGGAGAAGGCACGCUGAUAUGUAGGUGAAGUCCCUUGCGGAUGGAGCUGAAAUCAGUCGAAGAUACCAGCUGGCUGCAACUGUUUAUUAAAAACACAGCACUGUGCAAACACGAAAGUGGACGUAUACGGUGUGACGCCUGCCCGGUGCCGGAAGGUUAAUUGAUGGGGUUAGCGGUAACGCGAAGCUCUUGAUCGAAGCCCCGGUAAACGGCGGCCGUAACUAUAACGGUCCUAAGGUAGCGAAAUUCCUUGUCGGGUAAGUUCCGACCUGCACGAAUGGCGUAAUGAUGGCCAGGCUGUCUCCACCCGAGACUCAGUGAAAUUGAACUCGCUGUGAAGAUGCAGUGUACCCGCGGCAAGACGGAAAGACCCCGUGAACCUUUACUAUAGCUUGACACUGAACAUUGAGCCUUGAUGUGUAGGAUAGGUGGGAGGCUUUGAAGUGUGGACGCCAGUCUGCAUGGAGCCGACCUUGAAAUACCACCCUUUAAUGUUUGAUGUUCUAACGUUGGCCCCUGAUCGGGGUUGCGGACAGUGUCUGGUGGGUAGUUUGACUGGGGCGGUCUCCUCCUAAAGAGUAACGGAGGAGCACGAAGGUUGGCUAAUCCUGGUCGGACAUCAGGAGGUUAGUGCAAUGGCAUAAGCCAGCUUGACUGCGAGCGUGACGGCGCGAGCAGGUGCGAAAGCAGGUCAUAGUGAUCCGGUGGUUCUGAAUGGAAGGGCCAUCGCUCAACGGAUAAAAGGUACUCCGGGGAUAACAGGCUGAUACCGCCCAAGAGUUCAUAUCGACGGCGGUGUUUGGCACCUCGAUGUCGGCUCAUCACAUCCUGGGGCUGAAGUAGGUCCCAAGGGUAUGGCUGUUCGCCAUUUAAAGUGGUACGCGAGCUGGGUUUAGAACGUCGUGAGACAGUUCGGUCCCUAUCUGCCGUGGGCGCUGGAGAACUGAGGGGGGCUGCUCCUAGUACGAGAGGACCGGAGUGGACGCAUCACUGGUGUUCGGGUUGUCAUGCCAAUGGCACUGCCCGGUAGCUAAAUGCGGAAGAGAUAAGUGCUGAAAGCAUCUAAGCACGAAACUUGCCCCGAGAUGAGUUCUCCCUGACCCUUUAAGGGUCCUGAAGGAACGUUGAAGACGACGACGUUGAUAGGCCGGGUGUGUAAGCGCAGCGAUGCGUUGAGCUAACCGGUACUAAUGAACCGUGAGGCUUAACCUU